ACGCAGUCCGAGAGUCCAGACGCAUGCCGACUGGAAGACCAAAGAGAUUAGCACGAGGAAGGAUGAUCUUCCACAAAAAGAGCUAUGUACAGCUAUAAUGGAAAAUACUCGGUGAGGAGAAACGAAAUAAAAGGCAAUACAGCGUAGCCAAACCCGGGUUAGCUGCCGGUGGAGUUCAAGAGCGCGCCGCGGUCCCGCCCCCGCCAGCCCCGCCCCGGCGAGAAAAGCAUAUGCAAAUUUUCGAGCGCCCGACGCGCGGUCUUCUGGGUAAAACCGAGCCGCCGCUUUUGCGACCCUUCAGGGCCUCAGAAAACAAAGAAUUGGGGUGUCGUCGAAAGCUGUGGAGGCUGGAGAGUACAGUAUGAAGUGGAGGAGUAACUAUCCUGCGGAGAAAACUGACAGACGCAACCUCAGCCAGACGGUGGAGGUCAACAUCAAGUACACGUCCUAUGAUGUCAUGGAAACGGCAUUUUGCCUCUGUGAUAGUCCUUCCCAAGACCCUUAAGCCCAGUCUAAACAUGAGGAAAACAUCAGAGAAAUUCCAAUAGAGGGGCAUCCUACAAAACACCUGAGCAGUACCCCUCAAAACUGUCCAGGUCAUCAAAAACAAGAACUCUGAGAAACCGUCACAGCAACAGGAGCCAAGGGAAACAUAACAACUAAAGGUAAUGAGGUAUCCUGGA
rnacentral:antisense_RNA from 1 species